UUUUUUUUCUAUCUCUCUUCUCUUUCAUCUACUCAUUCAUCUCUUUUUUUUCUAACUAAUUUUUUCUUCAUAUAU
rnacentral:sRNA from 1 species